CUGCUUUGGCAGCAGUGCACUAAUACUGGAUGACAGAUUAGCAAGGCCGCUGUGCAAGGGUGGCAGGCGAAUCUGUGAAGUGUUCCAUCAUUUC
ensembl:snRNA Gm26103 predicted gene, 26103